rnacentral:rRNA from 1 species
GACGAACGCUGGCGGCGUGCUUAACACAUGCCAGUCGAACGCGCCUGUCCUCUGGGUUUCUGGGGGGUGGGUGAGUGGCGAACGGGUGAGUAACACGUGAGUAACCUGCCCCCUUCUUCGGGAUAACGGUCUGAAAGGGCUGCUAAUACCGGGUAUUCACUGGUCUCCGCAUGGGGUCUGGUGGAAAGGUUUUUUUCUGGUGGGGGAUGGGCUCGCGACCUAUCAGCUUGUUGGUGGGGUGAUGGCCCACCAAGGCUUUGACGGGUAGCCGGCCUGAGAGGGUGACCGGUCACAUUGGGACUGAGAUACGGCCCAGACUCCUACGGGAGGCAGCAGUGGGGAAUAUUGCACAAUGGGCGCAAGCCUGAUGCAGCGACGCCGCGUGAGGGAUGGAGGCCUUCGGGUUGUGAACCUCUUUCGCCCGUGGUCAAGCCGCGACGUGGGUCGUGGUGAGGGUAGUGGGUAAAGAAGCGCCGGCUAACUACGUG